AGCUUUGCACAGUGGCAGUAUCGUAGCCAAUGAGGUUUAUCUGAAGUGCAAUUAUUGCUAAUUGGAAACUUCCCAAUACCCCGCCAUGACGACUUGAAAUAGAGUCUGCGUUGGCAGUUUUUGGUAGUUUCUAAGGGGA
ensembl:snRNA U4 U4 spliceosomal RNA